CCGAUAGUGAACCAGUACCGUGAGGGAAAGGCGAAAAGAACCCCUGUGAGGGGAGUGAAAUAGAACCUGAAACCGUGUACGUACAAGCAGUAGGAGCAGGCUUUGUCCUGUGACUGCGUACCUUUUGUAUAAUGGGUCAGCGACUUAUAUUCAGUGGCAAGGUUAACCAUCUAGGGGAGCCGUAGGGAAACCGAGUCUUAACUGGG
rnacentral:rRNA from 2 species